GACGAACGCUGGCGGCGUGCUUAACACAUGCAAGUCGAACGGACAGGCCUCUUUCGGGGGGUACUCGUGUGGCGAACGGGUGAGUAACUCGUGAGUAACCUGCCUUUGUCUUUGGGUUAACUUCAGUCAACAAGGGCUAAUACCGGACAGAAGCUCCUGCUGCCCGCAGGGGGUUGGAAAGUAUCGCCGGUUGGGGAUGGACUCGCGGCGUAUCCGCUUUUUGUUGGCGUAUUGGCUUACCGAGGCCUUGACGGGUAGCCGGCCUGAGGGCGUGACCGGCCGCCUUGAGACUGACGGGCGGCCCAGACUGCGACGGGAGGCAGCAGUGGGGAAUAUUGCACGAUGAGUGGCGGGCUGGUGCAGCAAGGCCGUGUGCGGGAUGACGGUGUUCGGGUUGUAGACCGCAUGCGCUCAUGACGAAGCUUUGUGUGACGGUAGUGAGUAAAGAAGCACCGGCUAACUACGUG
rnacentral:rRNA from 1 species